UGGGGCGGAGCCUGAUCCAGCAAUGCCGCGUGGGUGAAGACGGCCUGCGGGUUGUAAAGCCCUUUAGGUGGGGAAGAAGGCCUUGCUGCGAAGAGUGGUGAGGAUUGACAUUACCCACGGAAUAAGCACCGGCUAACUCCGUGCCAGCAGCCGCGG
rnacentral:rRNA from 1 species